CAGCACAAACUGCAGCCUUGACAGUUUGCACAGGCCGUCCUCACAUGCAUUCAGACUGAUUCGAGAUAACCAAACUGCGUGACUGUGAUGAAAGACUUGGAUUAAUGAGUGACCCGCAGGAUGGUCGUGCGUGGCCUCACCAUUUAACUUUUUCAGGCCUUGCAGAUUCUGGCGUCUCUGUUUUCCUUUCCCUUCUUCUGAGUAGAGGUUAAGUUCACAUUAUCCCCUCCCCUUCAAGCGCUCCAAAUAUUUUUGGAGCCUCUUCAAUAAAGGCAUGCAACACUGGAAAAAAUGUAGGCAGCUGUUUGUGCUUUCAAGGCUUAUCUUCCCUUGUAAAGGCAUAUCUGAGCUUCCAGCAAACACAGCAAGCAGCUGUAGCCAAAGUGAGUCAAGAAACAGCAAAUUGGAAAUCAGGGAAAUAUACUAACCCCCCCGCCUCAAAAAAAAACAAAAAAAAAACAGCCUCUCCUCACCCUAAGUGGGUAGAGAAAAGUGUAUUUUUCGGUACUCUAACUGUGCAGUAAUUCUAAUUCAUCUGGCAGCCAUGUGAGCUGGUGGGUAUCUGAGAGUCCUCUUGCUGCUGAAGGAUUACAAGCUGCUCAAAGCCUCUGAGAAGUUGAAAAGGUGACUGGCAGAGAGCUCCAUGACUGCCGUGGGGAGGGGCGCCACCGCAACACCUGCUCCAUCUCCUUUCCUCCUACCUUUGGGAGCCAUCUGCCCACCUGCUUCCAUGGUAAAGCAGACACACCCUGCCCACGGUUCCUCCCUAGUACCCUGCAGCUAAAGUAAAGCUAGUCUGCACAGGAGCACAGAUGCAGACAGAGCUCCAACAUGCCUGGCCACCAUACCAUAGGAGGGAGGGAUCAACGUAGCUGUGGGUCUUUUGUGUAGCUGCCACCACUUAAAAAAAAGCUCCCUGCCAAGCCGUGUUUGCUCUCCUUUAUUCCCACCUGUCAUCACACUGCUUGCUUUCAUCUGUAGGGUGCAGCCUAAAGACCAUUCCUCGAGGCAGAGAAGACAUUAUCUCAGUGGAGUAAAAGCGAGAGGUAAAACGGCAGAGCCGAUCGUUUUAUGGUAGGAGCAUGGUGUACAGAAACGAGGUUAAGGUGAGGAGCUCCGGCUACUCGCUGAAGAACACCCCUGUACUUAUUGUUGUGAUUGCUGUUUUGAUGAUUAUUCUUUGUAUUUAUCUGGAGAUGAUGAUGACAUUCCCUUGGUGACUGUUAUUAUAAUGCCCCGUACGGUGGCUGGUAUGAUAUUAUGAAUAAAAUGGUUGCUUAUUUUA